ACAGCAGCCGCCGCGGGAAUACAGAGGGUGCGAGCGUUAAUCGGAUUUACUGGGCGUAAAGCGUGCGUAGGCGGCUUCUUAAGUCGGAUGUGAAAUCCCUGAGCUUAACUUAGGAAUUGCAUUCGAUACUGGGAAGCUAGAGUAUGGGAGAGGAUGGUAGAAUUCCAGGUGUAGCGGUGAAAUGCGUAGAGAUCUGGAGGAAUACCGAUGGCGAAGGCAGCCAUCUGGCCUAAUACUGACGCUGAGGUACGAAAGAAUGGGGAGCAAACAGGAUUAGAUACCCCUGUAGUCCCUGUCUCUUAUAC
rnacentral:rRNA from 1 species